rnacentral:lncRNA from 1 species
UCCGAAGCCAGGAGCCAGGUGCCUCCUGGUCUCCCAUGUGAGUGCAGGGCCCAAACACUUGGGCCAUCCUCCACUCCCUUCCCGGAGCCACAGCAGAGAGCUGGACUGGAAGAGGAGCAACCAGGACAGAACUGGUGCCCCAACCGGGACUACAACCUGGAGUGCCGAUGCUGCAGGCGGAGGAUUAGCCUGGUGAGCCUCGGCGCCGGCCAAAAGCACAGCUCUUUAAACAAUCUGUUGGGCCAGAUAAAGAUGAGACAACUGAACAGUGGACCAUUCCUAAAAUCAUCUAAUAAAGAGUUUAAGCUGAAUCUGGACAUCCUAACUGGUCUGAAUGUAAGUUUUGUUCUAUUUUGUUCUAUUUUAGAGCAUUAAAAGAUCAUUAUUUAAAACAGAACAAUAAACAAAGCCUGUAUCUUGGAGGAGGGAGAUUC